AAAGUCGUAACAAGGUUUCCGUAGGUGAACCUGCGGAAGGAUCAUUACCGUGGGGACUCGUCCCCAUUGAGAUAGCACCCCCUGUUUACGAGUACCGUCCGUUUCCUCGGCGGGUUCGCGCGCCGCCAGGGACCCCCCCCCAAGAAACCUCUUGCAGUAGCAGUACCGUCAGCAGAAAACCCAAUAUCAAAACUUUCAACAACGGAUCUCUUGGUUCUG
rnacentral:misc_RNA from 1 species